CCCCCCCCCCGCAGCAGUGGGGAAUAUUGGACAAUGGGGGGAACCCUGAUCCAGCCAUGCCGCGUGUGUGAAGAAGGCCCUCGGGUUGUAAAGCACUUUCAGUGAGGAAGAACGCCUGGUGGUUAAUACCCAUCAGGAAAGACAUCACUCACAGAAGAAGCACCGGCUAACUCCGUGCCAGCAGCCGCGGUAAUACGGAGGGUGCGAGCGUUAAUCGGAAUUACUGGGCGUAAAGCGCGCGUAGGUGGCUUGAUAAGCCGGUUGUGAAAGCCCCGGGCUCAACCUGGGAACGGCAUCCGGAACUGUCAAGCUAGAGUGCAGGAGAGGAAGGUAGAAUUCCCGGUGUAGCGGUGAAAUGCGUAGAGAUCGGGAGGAAUACCAGUGGCGAAGGCGGCCUUCUGGACUGACACUGACACUGAGGUGCGAAAGCGUGGGUAGCAAACAGGAUUAGAUACCCCAGUAGUC
rnacentral:rRNA from 1 species